CUUGCGCAUGCGCACUUACCGCCAACAUUUGAAAAGAAUUCCGUUGCGUUGCAGUUUAUUGAGCUCCAUCGAGAAGUGUGACGAAGAAGGCCGUUAAUAAUUCAACUACUUAAAGAAUACGGGUUAGAUAUGGACAACGACUUCGAAGACAUUUGCAGUAGGCUAAACAGAGAAAGAGAGAAGGACCCAAAACUACCUGUCCUGGCAUCACAUUUGAGGAGAAGAAGUCGAUGAAUAUGACCUAGCCCGGGGGAGUUUCCAGAAGAAGGCCCAGAACCACCGGCCGCCAGGAGUGGAGGUCCUUUGUUGUUGCUCUCCAUGUCAGGAGGCAUCGGGCAGUAGGUAAGACUAACCCUGGUAGAAGCACCAUCUUGAUACUAUCAUUCAAACUCUCAUCAGCUGUAUCAUUAUAGGUGGACUAAAAGAACAAUAUUCAUGCAGAUAUAAUGAUGCCUUAAGUUGGAAUGGAAGGUGUCCUGAAUCUGCACCCAUUCAUCUGGUUUCGUAACUCCUUUCAUAGUGCUAUUGGAACCUGCUCCCUACCAGUAUAACAUCAAACAGAU